AAUUUCAAAGCAAUUGCGUUUGUGAGAAAAAUUGCAUCAACAUUAACACGUAUGUAUAUGCAUACAUAUAUAUCACUCCGGCGUGUUCCAAAAUAAAGGAAGGCAAAUACAAGACACCUGCCAAUGUUAAAAAAACUGCAGUUAGUAUUGCAAAACGAGGCCACAUUCCAGACAGUUGCAUGGCAGUCGAUGCAGAGAGAUACCUAGCGGGAUUGUAGGGUAAUACGAGUGUAAUGUUACCUCUCAAAAUGGUCACAAACAGCGAGUAAAGUACAGUUGCAGUUGCUAGUAGAGCUGAUGGAAACUCAACCGGCUAUAGCCUGAGGAUUUUUAAUGGAUUAUGAGGAGGAGUCAAAGCAAUUUUGGAAAUAGAUGAAUAACAAAUUAAAUACCACGGAACCGCCUGUAAAAAAUGUUGUGGAAUGCAAGAAGAUGUAUGUUGAAUUCCAGAAAACCCAACAGGGCAACAGGUGACCCUAAUGCAUAGCGUAAAUUUCCCCCUCUCGAAGGAUGAAAGAGUCGGUGGAACGGUUGCCCGUGAGGAAGAUUGAAUUGCAGGAGCAGUAGACCUUGCCAAACGAUGUGGAUAUUUGCCUUGGUCUGGAAUUUAUCUAAGUUGAAGAAGAAUUUGUUGCCAUUCUCCCACAUGCAGUUACAGAUACUUCAGUAGCCAUAAUUCUAAUUUAAUUUUGAUUUUCAAUAACAAAAUUAUCAAAUGUCCAAAAUACACAAUAAUACUAAGCAGUUGAUUUCGAAAGAGAAAAAAUUCACUCCCAAAAAAACAUUGUCCCUGUGCAUUUAGAAUAGACGGAUCUUCUCUUCGGGGAUUUCUAAAUCCUCGCUGGAGAAUUUCCGCGAAAAUAUUUAGAAUUGGGCUGUAUGAC